rnacentral:rRNA from 1 species
AAGAGACAGCAGUCGCCACGGUAAUACGAAGGGGGCUAGCGUUGCUCGGAAUUACUGGGCGUAAAGGGAGCGUAGGCGGACAUUUAAGUCAGGGGUGAAAUCCCAGAGCUCAACUCUGGAACUGCCUUUGGUACUGGGUGUCUUGAGUGUGAUAGAGGUAUGUGGAACUCCGAGUGUAGAGGUGAAAUUCGUAGAUAUUCGGAAGAACACCAGUGGCGAAGGCGACAUACUGGAUCAUUACUGACGCUGAGGCUCGAAAGCGUGGGGAGCAAACAGGAUUAGAUACCCCAGUAGUCCCUGUCUCUUAUAC